rnacentral:tRNA from 1 species
GCCCUGAUAGCUUAACCUAAAGCAUCGGUCUUGUAAGCCGAAGACUGUAGCCUGACACCUACUCAGGGCU